AAUGCUGCACUGCGGCAGAGCAAGGCGCCUGGCUUUCUGAAGCUUACCAUGCCUUGGAAAGGAAAUCGGAGGGCUCUGGGAUGCUGCCAGAACCCUCACACAACCGCCUUCCCAAAGUCGGAAGCAGUCCCACAAGGCAGAUGCCAUAGGCAAAACCAAGGAAGUACAAGGAGACAGCUGCUGCCCUACAUCAGCUGAACUAAUUGAGCAAUUACAUCACAGAAAGGGCCUGCAAGAUGGAGCUGUUCCGCCUGGCCUUCGGUCCUGGCCCAGUUUGACCCCCCUCUAUGGGACCCUUUUAUUGGCUCAUGUGGGACCAACAUGGAUAGCUGGCCCUGAUGAAUACUUGAGAUUCCCAAUCUGUAUGGUUGUAAUUCGUGGGCAGUCAUUAAUUUUACCCUGAUUCUAAUUUUUAAGCUGUAUUUUAAUCAAUUGUUCGAUUGUGUUUUAAUGUAUUUGAUAUUUGA